CCUACGGGAGGCAGCAGUAGGGAAUAUUGCUCAAUGGGGGAAACCCUGAAGCAGCAACGCCGCGUGGAGGAUGAAGGUUUUCGGAUUGUAAACUCCUUUUGUUAGAGAAGAUAAUGACGGUAUCUAACGAAUAAGCACCGGCUAACUCCGUGCCAGCAGCCGCGGUAAUACGGAGGGUGCAAGCGUUACUCGGAAUCACUGGGCGUAAAGAGGGCGUAGGCGGGAUAGAAAGUCAGAUGUGAAAUCCUAUGGCUUAACCAUAAAACUGCAUUUGAAACUGUUAUUCUAGAGUAUGGGAGAGGUAGGUGGAAUUCUUGGUGUAGGGGUAAAAUCCGUAGAGAUCAAGAGGAAUACUCAUUGCGAAGGCGACCUGCUAGAACAUAACUGACGCUGAUGCGCGAAAGCGUGGGGAGCAAACAGGAUUAGAUACCCCAGUAGUC
rnacentral:rRNA from 1 species